rnacentral:lncRNA from 1 species
AGGCCUUUGCCAUAAUUAAGCCUUUGUCUAACCUCCCAGAGCAAACAACUCUGGAUCCUUAAUUGGAUAAGCCACUUAGUGGUUGGCAACUUGUGGACCAUGAUUCGGAUUUAUCUGAUGAGUCUACAGGGACUGGGAAUUACGAACUCCCAUUGCACCACCGGUGACCCCCUUUAAGGGUGGCUAAGGUGAUUUUCUUGCAGGUACUCAGCAUUUUGGAAGCUCGGUAUUUGUGUGGAGAGAUACACUUACAGAACUCGUGAGUGACACCCUUACCCAAAUACCGAGAGAAAAUUGAGUGUUGAGUGAUACACCUGCAGAACAUUUUAGUGAGACACCUACUAAUUACCAAAUUUAUACCUAAAGACAAAGUGGAUGUUGUUACUGGAAUGUCAGUUUUACUCAUUACUUUUCCGUUUGGAACAUAUUCUUUCAGCAUAGGGACCAACCCAAUCAAAGUAAACCCUUCUUCUGAACUCUUUCUUCGACCCCAGCUUUAGCGUUGUUUAGUUCUCUAUGGGGAGAUUAUCUUUUGGUACAGGAAGUAUUGUACACAUUCCUUGACCUAUUUGAUACCACAUAUCCUUGGAGGAUUCCACAACUAAGGGGGAUAAUAAAUUUAGGGGGAGAAUUUAUAAAAGGGGGAAGAAAAAGUAAGUUAGCUUUCUUUAGCUGUCUACAACUAAGGGGGAUUAAACUACUCUUUAGCUGUGUACUACUGAGGGGGAGAUUCUUCUUCAACUACGGAGGAGGAUUGAUCUUUCAUCUAAGGGGAGAUAGCUACUUAUCACCAAGGGGAACCUGAUCAAGGUAACGGGAGGAGAAGUAUAAGGUGAUACAUUUAUUCUUCAGUAAGUGGUAGAAAGGAACUUAUUCAUUACCACUGAAGAAUUCAAUGAAGCUGCUGAUUGUUCUUUGCAUAAUGGAGUGUUUUGAAUUCUCUUCAAGACAGACUAUGAGGAUUAUCUGGCAGGUAAGCAAGAACCAGAGAAAUAAAAGUGAUAUGCACAUUUGUUAUUUCUAUUCAUGAAAUCUGGAAAUGUACUAUAUGAUCCAGAAACUUUGUAGCAUUAUUUACUAGUC